rnacentral:rRNA from 1 species
AACGAACGCUGGCGGCAGGCUUAACACAUGCAAGUCGAACGCACCUUUCGGGGUGAGUGGCAGACGGGUGAGUAACGCGUGGGAAUCUACCCUUCUCUACGGGAUAGCUCCGGGAAACUGGAAUUAAUACCGUAUACGUCCUGAGGGAGAAAGAUUUAUCGGGGAAGGAUGAGCCCGCGUUGGAUUAGCUAGUUGGUGGGGUAAAGGCCUACCAAGGCGACGAUCCAUAGCUGGUCUAAGAGGAUGAUCAGCCACAUUGGGACUGAGACACGGCCCAAACUCCUACGGGAGGGAGGAGUGGGGAAUAUUGGACAAUGGGCGCAAGCCUGAUCCAGCCAUGCCGCGUGAGUGAUGAAGGCCCUAGGGUUGUAAAGCUCUUUCAGUGGGGACGAUAAUGACGGUACCCACAGAAGAAGCCCCGGCUAACUUCGUG